UACGGAGGGGGCAAGCGUUGUUCGGAAUUACUGGGCGUAAAGGGUGCGUAGGCGGUUCUCUAAGUCGGAUGUGAAAACUCUGGGCUCAACCCAGAGCCUGCAUCCGAAACUGGAGGACUAGGGUACUGGAGGGGAAAGCGGAAUUCCUGGUGUAGCGGUGAAAUGCGUAGAUAUCAGGAGGAACACCGGUGGCGAAGGCGGCUUUCUGGACAGUAACCGACGCUGAGGCACGAAAGCUAGGGGAGCAAACAGG
rnacentral:rRNA from 1 species